rnacentral:rRNA from 1 species
GAUGAACGCUGGCGGCGUGCUUAACACAUGCAAGUCGAACGAAGCACUUUACCGGAUUUCUUCGGGAUGAAAGUUUUGUGACUGAGUGGCGGACGGGUGAGUAACGCGUGGGUAACCUGCCUCAUACAGGGGGAUAACAGUUAGAAAUGACUGCUAAUACCGCAUAAGACCACAGGAUUGCAUGAUCCGGUGGUAAAAACUCCGGUGGUAUGAGAUGGACCCGCGUCUGAUUAGGUAGUUGGUGGGGUAACGGCUCACCAAGCCGACGAUCAGUAGCCGACCUGAGAGGGUGACCGGCCACAUUGGGACUGAGACACGGCCCAAACUCCUACGGGAGGCAGCAGUGGGGAAUAUUGCACAAUGGGGGAAACCCUGAUGCAGCGACGCCGCGUGAGCGAUGAAGUAUUUCGGUAUGUAAAGCUCUAUCAGCAGGGAAGAAAAUGACGGUACCUGACUAAGAAGCACCGGCUAAAUACGUGCCAGCAGCCGCGGUAAUACGUAUGGUGCAAGCGUUAUCCGGAUUUACUGGGUGUAAAGGGAGCGUAGACGGAGAGGCAAGUCUGAUGUGAAAACCCGGGGCUCAACCCCGGGACUGCAUUGGAAACUGUUUUUCUAGAGUGUCGGAGAGGUAAGUGGAAUUCCUAGUGUAGCGGUGAAAUGCGUAGAUAUUAGGAGGAACACCAGUGGCGAAGGCGGCUUACUGGACGAUGACUGACGUUGAGGCUCGAAAGCGUGGGGAGCCAACAAAAAGUAGCUUCCCUGGUAGUUUCCCCCCCCAAACGAUGACUUAAAGGGUCGGGAGGCAAAGCCUUUCGGUGCCGCAGCCAACGCAAUAAGCAGUCCACCUGGGGGGGGCGUUCGCAAGAAUGAAACUCAAAGGAAUUGACGGGGACCCGCACCAGCGGUGGAGCAUGUGGUUUAAUUUGAAGCAACGCGAAGAACCUUACCUGCCCCUGACAUCCGGCUGACUGGCGAGUAAUGUCGCCUUUCCUUCG